GCCAUCGAGAGAGCACGUGGAGUGCCCCUUGCCCUGUCUUGGCCUGCCGUGGAAAAACAGUCUUUGAAGAAUCACUGUCUAAGGAAUGAAGAAUUGAAAAGAGGUAAUAGCAACAGUGUGAUCUGUUGUUGGAACACUACUGAGCCCUGGUCCAGCUCUAAAUGAUGUGCUGUUCUACUUUGUUUCCUGUUGGAAAAGUAUUGAUUCAAAACCUGGACCUAAUGGUUAUAACUAACUGCAUCUCUAGAACACAGGAAAUCUCAGGAAGUCAUUAAUGGUGUUAGAAGGCCUCAAACUUGAAGUUAAGGACAAGCAACUGCAACCUGUUCCUUUCUCCUGGUGAGAGCUGAAACGAGGACUCAGUGCAGCCAGCACUGGCUGGGAGCCUUCUUGGUGAGAGACUGUGCUGGCCGUGGCCGAGCCUGCAGACUUGGGAAGAUCUGGCAGCAGGACGAGCCAACACCAGUUGAUUACCAGUCUGCCUGGAGAGCUGUGUUGAGAAGGAUUCUGAAGCUGAGAAUGGACCCAGCAUUGUGAUGAGUGGUGUUUGCAUGGAUAGAGAACUAGUGAAAGGUGGUAAUUUUGCCCUGUACUUGCCAUCCCUGGACUAGAGGGAGACAAUUUAGGAGAAUAUUGGAAUAGCUGUGAUAAAUAGCUGUGAUAAAAGGUAAUCAGGAACUUUAUUUUGGUGGUAUUCCUUCAACCAUAUAUAAGGACUUGUAUAGGACAGCACAAUGAAAAUGGAUGGAAAAGACAUUGCUAAGGUACAAUCUACUAGAUACAGGCACCAAUUCAUUCCCUGAAUUCAGCAAAAAUAUGUGGUGGCCAAAAGAAGCUGAGGAUACAAGAAUAAGAUACAGACCCUGCUCUCAAGGAAGAUUCACAAAAGCCUUCCUUUCUGAAGUGAGUCUCAGAGCAUUAGGGAAGGUUAGCCCGGUGAAUUGGUGGUGUCAGGCGGGGUGGGAGAAGGAGGGUGUAGACUGGUGUGAUAC